rnacentral:rRNA from 1 species
UCCUACGGGAGGCAGCAGUGGGGAAUAUUGGACAAUGGGGGCAAGCCUAAUCCAGCCAUGCCGCGGAUGCAAGAAGGUCCCCGAUGGGAGCGAUUAAACUUGGGAAGAAGGACAGUAGUUAAUCCGGAGCAACAGACGUACAUCCAAAAAAGCAAGGUUCU